GGGGCCGUUUUUGGUUUCGACAAAAUAUUAUUUUAUAAUAUGUGCAAGUGGUUUCUGACCUAAUCAGAAAAACAGUUAAAAUAACUGACAAAUUUAAUUUUAAUACUGAUCUAGCAUUUGCCUAAUUAUAGGCUCGGAUCACUGAUUAUAGACUACUUCUACUGAGUUUAUAAUUGGUUCAUAAGAGUAGAAUAUAUUUAAUAAAUUGAUUGGUUUGUUAAAAGAAUCUUAUCAAUCUUAGUUAUUAGUUCUUUAGAUAAUUUGUGGGCUAGUAAUGAAAUAAUAAAUUAUCUAAACUUGUAGAUCGUAUUAUAAAACUAUUUUGGACAGCGGUUCAAAUCCGCUCGGCUCCACCA
rnacentral:tmRNA from 1 species